rnacentral:rRNA from 1 species
UGGGGAAUAUUGCACAAUGGGGGAAACCCUGAUGCAGCCAUGCCGCGUGUGUGAAGAAGGCCUUCGGGUUGUAAAGCACUUUCAGUGGUGAGGAAAGGAGGUUGGCUAAUACCCGGCCUCUGUGACGUUAACCACAGAAGAAGCACCGGCUAACUCCGUGCCAGCAGCCGCGGUAAUACGGAGGGUGCAAGCGUUAAUCGGAAUAACUGGGCGUAAAGCGCACGCAGGCGGUUUGUUAAGCCAGAUGUGAAAGCCCCGGGCUCAACCCGGGAACUGCAUUUGGAACUGGCAGACUAGAGUCUUGGAGAGGGGGGUAGAAUUUCCGGUGUAGCGGUGAAAUGCGUAGAGAUCGGAAGGAAUACCAGUGGCGAAGGCGGCCCCCUGGCCAAAGACUGACGCUCAGGUGCGAAAGCGUGGGGAGCAAACAGGAUUAGAUACCCCAGUAGUC